AUACCAGCGCGUUCGGAGACACGACAGUGCAAGGAAGUCGUCAGGGCGAGGACUGUAGCGGGCAUAAACAGUGAGAGGAAGAAGGCGGCAAGGACACGGCGAGUCCGCGACAUCGCAACAAGCGGCAAAACGUGAAGACUGAAUGAUUGACAACCUGACCACCUCUGAUGUCACUUCUGCUGUCUGCUCCCCUGGACCCGCCUCUUCCUGCCUGGCCUGUACUUAACAGGAAGUGUCGCCAUCCUUAGCAGAAACCCCGUCUGGCCCUGAUGACAUCACUUCCAGUUCCGGAUCCUUGGAUGACGUCACUUCUGGUGAAGAACCCAUGACCGAAGAGACUUCCUGUUCCGGCCCUUUUGAUGACGUGACAUCUGGGUCUGAACCUAUGGAAGAGGACCCUUCUGCUUCCGCCCUCGAUGACUUCAUUUCCUUUAAUACCGCCAUAUUUGACUAACCUGAUCAGUUCUGUUUGGACUCCAU